UACGAAGGUGGCAAGCGUUGUCCGGAUUUACUGGGCGUAAAGAGCGCGCAGGCGGUCGUGCAAGUCGCGUGUGAAAGCCCCCGGCUCCAACUGGGGAGGGUCACGCGAUACUGCUCGACUGGAAGGCAGGAGAGGGAAGGCAGAAUUCCCGGUGUAGUGGUGAAUGACGUAGAUAUCGGGAGGAAUACCAGUGGCGAAGGCGGCUUCCUGGCCUGUUCUUGACGCUGAGGCGCGAAAGCUAGGGUAGCAAACGGG
rnacentral:rRNA from 1 species